rnacentral:lncRNA from 1 species
UAAACAUGCAACUUUGACACAAAGAUGAAUUGAAGUAUUUAUAUUCAUCAAGCCAUUGGUGGUUCGACGCUCCAUGCAUAAUGAAAGUUUUAAUGCGUUUGACUACCUUUCUAAGCCUUUGAUGGUGCUGGUGCUGCUGCAGCUGCAGCUGCUGGUGCUGCUUCCACCUUGACAGGUGCCACAUCAGCAGGUGCAGGUACUUCUUCCACCUUAACGGGUGCCACAUCAGCAGGUGCUGAUUCCUCUUCUUUCUUUGAUUCUGCUGCUUCAACAACUAUGUCCUUCUCCUUCACCUCCACCUCUUCAGCUGAUGUGGCAGUUGUUGCUUCCACAUCAGCAGGUGCCACGUCAACAGGUGCUGGUUCCUCUUCUUUCUUCUUCUCUUCUUCUGGGAUGACUAUAAAUGUUGAUACUUUCUCGAACACAAAGCGAAUUGGGCCGGAUACAUAUGAAGGCCCAAAGUUUGAGCUUGCUUCACUUACUGCUUUCGAUCCCGGAAAUUC